GCAGAUACAUUUCAGCCAAUCAGCAGCAGACCCUCCCUCCCAGACCCUCCCACCUCCUGGACAGCAUCCAUUUUACAUUCAUUGUGAAGCUGCAUUCUUAGUGAGCUGUCCAGGAGGUGGGAGGGUCUGGGAGGGAGGGUCUGCUGCUGAUUGGCUGGAAUGUGUCU